GACGAACGCUGGCGGCGUGCUUAACACAUGCAAGUCGAACGGAAAGGCCCUGCUUUUGUGGGGUGCCCGAGUGGCGAACGGGUGAGUAACACGUGAGUAACCUGCCCUUGACUUUGGGAUAACUUCAGGAAACUGGGGCUAAUACCGGAUAGGAGCUCCUGCUGCAUGGUGGGGGUUGGAAAGUUUCGGCGGUUGGGGAUGGACUCGCGGCUUAUCAGCUUGUUGGUGGGGUAGUGGCUUACCAAGGCUUUGACGGGUAGCCGGCCUGAGAGGGUGACCGGCCACAUUGGGACUGAGAUACGGCCCAGACUCCUACGGGAGGCAGCAGUGGGGAAUAUUGCACAAUGGGCGGAAGCCUGAUGCAGCAACGCCGCGUGCGGGAUGACGGCCUUCGGGUUGUAAACCGCUUUCGCCUGUGACGAAGCGUGAGUGACGGUAAUGGGUAAAGAAGCACCGGCUAACUACGUGCCAGCAGCCGCGGUGAUACGUAGGGUGCGAGCGUUGUCCGGAUUUAUUGGGCGUAAAGGGCUCGUAGGUGGUUGAUCGCGUCGGAAGUGUAAUCUUGGGGCUUAACCCUGAGCGUGCUUUCGAUACGGGUUGACUUGAGGAAGGUAGGGGAGAAUGGAAUUCCUGGUGGAGCGGUGGAAUGCGCAGAUAUCAGGAGGAACACCAGUGGCGAAGGCGGUUCUCUGGGCCUUUCCUGACGCUGAGGAGCGAAAGCGUGGGGAGCGAACAGGCUUAGAUACCCUGGUAGUCCACGCUGUAAACGGUGGGUACUAGGUGUGGGGUCCAUUCCACGGGUUCCGUGCCGUAGCUAACGCUUUAAGUACCCCGCCUGGGGAGUACGGCCGCAAGGCUAAAACUCAAAGGAAUUGACGGGGCCCCGCACAAGCGGCGGAGCAUGCGGAUUAAUUCGAUGCAACGCGUAGAACCUUACCUGGGUUUGACAUGGAUCGGGAGUGCUCAGAGAUGGGUGUGCCUCUUUUGGGGUCGGUUCACAGGUGGUGCAUGGCUGUCGUCAGCUCGUGUCGUGAGAUGUUGGGUUAAGUCCCGCAACGAGCGCAACCCUUGUUCACUGUUGCCAGCACGUUAUGGUGGGGACUCAGUGGAGACCGCCGGGGUCAACUCGGAGGAAGGUGGAGAUGACGUCAAGUCAUCAUGCCCCUUAUGUCCAGGGCUUCACGCAUGCUACAAUGGCUGGUACAGAGAGUGGCGAGCCUGUGAGGGUGAGCGAAUCUCGGAAAGCCGGUCUCAGUUCGGAUUGGGGUCUGCAACUCGACCUCAUGAAGUCGGAGUCGCUAGUAAUCGCAGAUCAGCAACGCUGCGGUGAAUACGUUCCCGGGGCU
rnacentral:rRNA from 1 species